CAGUCGAACGGGAAUUACUUUAUUGAAACUUCGGUCGAUUUAAUUUAAUUCUAGUGGCGGACGGGUGAGUAACGCGUGGGUAACCUGCCUUGUACAGGGGGAUAACAGUCAGAAAUGACUGCUAAUACCGCAUAAGCGCACAGGACCGCAUGGUCUGGUGUGAAAAACUCCGGUGGUAUAAGAUGGACCCGCGUUGGAUUAGCUAGUUGGCAGGGUAACGGCCUACCAAGGCGACGAUCCAUAGCCGGCCUGAGAGGGUGAACGGCCACAUUGGGACUGAGACACGGCCCAGACUCCUACGGGAGGCAGCAGUGGGGAAUAUUGCACAAUGGGGGAAACCCUGAUGCAGCGACGCCGCGUGAAGGAAGAAGUAUCUCGGUAUGUAAACUUCUAUCAGCAGGGAAGAAAAUGACGGUACCUGACUAAGAAGCCCCGGCUAACUACGUGCCAGCAGCCGCGGUAAUACGUAGGGGGCAAGCGUUAUCCGGAUUUACUGGGUGUAAAGGGAACGUAGACGGAUGGACAAGUCUGAUGUGAAAGGCUGGGGCUCAACCCCGGGACUGCAUUGGAAACUGCCCGUCUUGAGUGCCGGAGAGGUAAGCGGAAUUCCUAGUGUAGCGGUGAAAUGCGU
rnacentral:rRNA from 1 species